GACGAACGCUGGCGGCGUGCUUAACACAUGCAAGUCGAGCGGUAAGGCCCUUUCGGGGGUACACGAGCGGCGAACGGGUGAGUAACACGUGGGUGACCUGCCCUUAGCUCUGGGAUAAGCCUGGGAAACUGGGUCUAAUACCGGAUAUGACUCCAUGACGCAUGUUGUGGGGUGGAAAGCCUUGUGCGGCUAGGGAUGGGCCCGCGGCCCAUCAGCUUGUUGGUGGGGUGAUGGCCACCAAGGCGACGACGGGUAGCCGGCCUGAGAGGGCGACCGGCCACACUGGGACUGAGACACGGCCCAGACUCCUACGGGAGGCAGCAGUGGGGAAUCUUGCGCAAUGGGCGAAAGCCUGACGCAGCGACGCCGCGUGGGGAGUGACGGCCUCGG
rnacentral:rRNA from 1 species